GACGAACGCUGGCGGCGUGCUUAACACAUGCAAGUCGAACGGAAAGGCCCUGCUUUUGUGGGGUGCUCGAGUGGCGAACGGGUGAGUAACACGUGAGUAACCUGCCCUUGACUUUGGGAUAACUUCAGGAAACUGGGGCUAAUACCGGAUAGGAGCUCCUGCUGCAUGGGGGGGGUUGGAAAGUUUCGGCGGUUGGGGAUGGACUCGCGGCUUAUCAGCUUGUUGGUGGGGUAGUGGCUUACCAAGGCUUUGACGGGUAGCCGGCCUGAGAGGGUGACCGGCGUCAUUGGGACUGAGAGAGGGCCCAGACGCCUACGGGAGGCAGCAGGGGGGAGUAUUGCACAAUAGGCGGAAGCCUGAUGCAGCAACGCCGCGUGCGGGAUGACGGCCUUCGGGUUGUAAACCGCUUUCGCCGGUGACGAAGCGUGAGUGACGGUAAUGGGUAAAGAAGCACCGGCUAACUACGUG
rnacentral:rRNA from 1 species